UACGAAGGGCGCUAGCGUUGUUCGGAAUCACUGGGCGUAAAGCGCACGUAGGCGGAUUUGUCAGUCAGGGGUGAAAUCCCGGGGCUCAACCUCGGAACUGCCUUUGAUACAGCAAGUCUUGAGUUCGAGAGAGGUGGGUGGAAUUCCUAGUGUAGAGGUGAAAUUCGUAGAUAUUAGGAAGAACACCGGUGGCGAAGGCGGCCCACUGGCUCGAUACUGACGCUGAGGUGCGAAAGCGUGGGGAGCAAACAGG
rnacentral:rRNA from 1 species